rnacentral:rRNA from 1 species
AAAAGAAACCAACAGGGAUUGCCCUAGUAACGGCGAGUGAAGCGGCAACAGCUCAGAUUUGAAAUCUGGUCCCCAGGGCCCGAGUUGUAAUCUGUAGAGGAUGUUUCUGGCAAGGCGCCGUCCGAGUUCCCUGGAACGGGACGCCGGAGAGGGUGAGAGCCCCGUACAGGCGGACGCCGAGCCUCUGUGAAACUCCUUCGACGAGUCGAGUAGUUUGGGAAUGCUGCUCAAAGCGGGAGGUAAAUUUCUUCUAAAGCUAAAUAUAGGCCAGAGACCGAUAGCGCACAAGUAGAGUGAUCGAAAGAUGAAAAGCACUUUGAAAAGAGGGUUAAAAAGCACGUGAAAUUGUUGAAAGGGAAGCGCCUGUGACCAGACUCGCGCCCGGCGUAUCAUCCGGCGUUCUCGCCGGUGCACUACGCCGGGCUCGGGCCAGCAUCGGUUCUGGUGGGGGGAUAAAGGCGGCGGGGAUGUGGCUCCCCCGGGAGUGUUAUAGCCCGCCGCUCAAUGCCCUCGCCGGGACCGAGGACCGCGCAUUGCAAGGAUGCUGGCGUAAUGGUCACCAGCGACCCGUCUUGAAACACGGACCAAGGAGUCAAGCAUUAGGGCGAGUGUUUGGGUGUAAAACCCGCACGCGAAAUGAAAGUGAACGCAGGUGGGAGCCUCGGCGCACCAUCGACCGAUCCUGAUGUCUUCGGAUGGAUUUGAGUAAGAGCCUUAACGCUUGGACCCGAAAGAUGGUGAACUAUGCUUGUGUAGGGUGAAGCCAGAGGAAACUCUGGUGGAGGCUCGCAGCGGUUCUGACGUGCAAAUCGAUCGUCAAACAUGAGCAUGGGGGCGAAAGACUAAUCGAACCAUCU